rnacentral:rRNA from 1 species
AAUGGGGGCAACCCUGAUCCAGCAAUGCCGCGUGUGUGAAGAAGGCCUUCGGGUUGUAAAGCACUUUUGUCCGGGAAGAAAUCCCCUGCCCUAAUACGGCGGGGGGAUGACGGUACCGGAAGAAUAAGCACCGGCUAACUACGUGCCAGCAGCCGCGGUAAUACGUAGGGUGCGAGCGUUAAUCGGAAUUACUGGGCGUAAAGCGUGCGCAGGCGGUGAUGUAAGACCGAUGUGAAAUCCCCGGGCUCAACCUGGGAACUGCAUUGGUGACUGCAUUGCUCGAGUAUGGCAGAGGGGGGUGGAAUUCCACGUGUAGCAGUGAAAUGCGUAGAGAUGUGGAGGAACACCGAUGGCGAAGGCAGCCCCCUGGGCCAAUACUGACGCUCAUGCACGAAAGCGUGGGGAGCAAACAGGAUU